UGUGGCAGGACCCUCUCUGCCAUGCGGGCCAUCCGUGUUUGAGCACUGCUGGGCGGACCCUGUGCUAGCUCUAUUCCCUCCCUAUCUCCUCUCCGCUUCGUGCGCUGGCGGUUGAUGGACGGACUCCGAAGACCUCAGCCGUAACAAGAUGCCGAUCUCGCCGCUGGGACUUCGGCCGCUUGUAGCGGGAUCCCGAUCCGGCCAGGCGUCCAGCAGAGUCCGACCGGGCAGGUUCCCCUGGACUCGGAACCUCGCAGCCGUAUAAAACCGAGGCGUCCCUUUUGCAUCCGUGGCGUCCGCCAUUACCGAGCGCAGAGGGAGAAAGCAGCGUCGCCACCGCGGAAUCCACACCUCGGGGUCAAACCGGUGUCCUGCGUGGCGUCUAGAGUUUUGGCCGAGUUCGGUGGUUGACACUACGGAUGUGUUGGAUCGGGUGAAUCAGUGGUGGCGAGUUAAUUCCUCGCCGGAGCACCAGUCCACCGUGAAUUCGCCUAUCGCCGUGGGCGCUGAUUACCGUCGCUCCUUUCUCGGGUAUGUAACUCCUACUGCGUUCGCCACAUUCCGUACUACGCAUACUCGUCGCCGAUUGGGUUUUGGUCGCCGUAUUGCGCUUGGGUGAAGAUCCGGCGAUGGCGUCCGCCACGGCUGGGACGGCGCGGGUGCGCUCGGUUCUGGAGGAGGGCGACGGGUCCGUGGCCAUCGGAUCCGUGGACGACGGUUCAGAUUAGAGCGUAGCAUACCAAUUGGGUGGAAGAGCAGAGAAGCGUUUGAUCGUGAUCUAGCGGCUUGGAUUUGAGCGCGCGUUCGGGUAAUACUGACCGUAGAUCUUCAAUCCAACGUAUGGCGGGUUAUACCGGUUCAUUGACUCGUGAAUCUAAUCUGGGCGCUCGGCUUGCGAUCCAACGGCUCAGAUCGCACCGUACCCUUUCGCCGAGCCGAAAUUGUAAAAGAGCCCCUCUACUUUUCAAGAAUCAACCCGCAGUCCAACACUACUGUGCUCUGUGUCUAGGGAAAAUUAGGAUUUGGCCCCUGUGUUAUCUGUAAAUAGUGCGCCCAGUCCUGGGAAUUAUAAAAUCUAGAAAAAGUGAUUAGAGAAUGAUUUUAAUGAGAAAAUAAAUGCUAAAACUUGUUUAAUUCAUAUAAAAUUCAUAUUAAGUCCAAAUAAGUCCAUUCCAAUUUCUAUAAUUUUAUAAUAUUAUUGUUUAUCAAAUAGUGCCACUGAUUUGACAUGAAAGCCACUUUAAAAUUUAUCUCCUAAUUAAUCUUAUACGAAAUACAUAAAACCAUAGGAAAUUCAUAACUCCUCCGUUUUAACUCCGAUUUGAUCCGUUCAAGUUGCGUUAGUCUCGUAGCUUCGCGUAGAUUAUUUUUAUGCAGUGUGUUCUUAUGUUUGGUGUAAUGUUAAUUUUGCCUAUACACUGUUUGUUUGUAUUGCUACGAUUAGCAGUGAGGUCACGAGUCAUCUGAAGAUCAUCCUAGUACCUGGAAUCUCAAGUCUCAGGCAAGUUGUGCCCUUGAUCACUUCUUUUUACCCACUCAUGUUCUAAUUAAUCAUAAUGAUCUGCAUAGGUUAAUUUUGAUGGGACCCAAUAGGUUACCCUAGUUUGUCUACCUUUAUACCUUGAUUACCACUGGACUUUUUGGGUAGUACUUGCUAUUGCUUUAUGUGGUUUUGGGUAUGAAGAUACAUUAUUCAUGAUCACACUUUUAUUAUCUGUUUAUUAUUACUGUUCAUGAUAAGAUCAUUAUGUUAAUUGGAACAUGGAGCGACCACCCGGGAAAACAGUGCUACCACAAGGGUUUAAUGGGACGCCCUUGGCCGAUUAAUUAGGAAAGCUAGUGGAAGACUACCUUACCCGAAAGGGGCAAGGGCAGUAGGGGAGUGGUCAGUGUAGGGAGGCCCUCGGGAGGAUUUUGCUGCGAUGGCGGUCCUGCAAGGGAUUCCUGCAUUGGAGCUUCCUAUAAACUGUAGCGGGUUUUCUGAAGCUAGUGGAACUUUGUAAAGGCCUCGUAGUGUUACCAUGCCUCGCCUCCUCGGUAGAGGUGUAUGGGAAGUCGCGAUCCCUUGGCAGAUGGGUAACACGACUUGUGGGUAAAGAUGCGCAACCUCUGCAGAGUGUAAAACUGGUAUACUAGCCGUGCUCACGGUCAUGAGCAGCUCGGACCCUCACAUGAUUAAAUUAUGGAACUUAAAUUCAAUUUGUCAUAUGCAUUGCAUCGCAGGUGAUGUUGUUACUUCUGUUCUACUAUUUAAUUGGGUUGGUAUUUACUUAUACUUAGUAAUUGCUAAUAAAAUUUUGACCAACUUUAAAAGCAAUGCUCAGCUUCAACCAUCCUCUUUGGUAAGCCUUACACUUCACGUGAGCUCCCACCUUUGGCGAGUUCAUGCACAUUAUUCCCCACAACUUGUUGAGCGAUGAACGUAUGUGAGCUCACUCUUGCUGUCUCACACCCCCCCCACAGGUCAAGAACAGGUACCGCAGGAUGUGGCGCUUGGAGGAUGCUGCGAUGUGUUCGUGAGAGGUCUAGGCCGUCGUCUCCCAGUCAACUUUGGGUUGCUGGACCGUUGUCUCCUUAUAAUGUAAAUAUUUAUUUUGUAUAGAACUCCUGUUAUAUAUAAAGAUGUGACAUUCGAUCCUGUGCCAUGAUUCAUCAUAUGUGUGAGACUUGGUCCCAGCACACCUGGUGAUUAUGUUCGCGCCUGGGCUUUGGACCCCUAAAACCCGGGUGUGACAGAAGUGGUAUCAGAGGAAUGUUGACUGUAGGACGAAACCUAGAUAGAACUGGACAACCAUUAUCUACUUACCUUUGCUACUCUGAUUCUUUUCUAAACUUAUCUUAAUCUUCUCUCAUCUAUUUCCGCUUUACUCUGAUAAUUCUUACCUUUUCUUUCUAAAGACAAAUGUGGAUUUCAAACUUUGAAAUCCCGUACCUAAGACGAUCUUUAGGAAUAGGAGACCUACUCGUAGGAAAAAAAACUAUUUUAAUAAAUAUUGAUAUGCUUGUUCUUAUGAUGCUUGUCUGAUUUGGAUCUUUGAUUGAGUGUGAUGGGUUGUGGAGUAAUGUCCACAAUCACAUCUAGGGAAAAAUACUUAAAAAAUAACUAGAUAAACUAGAUUAUCACUCAUUUAAGUAUCUAGCCUAACAAUAUCCAUCUCAUCUCGAAAGAUUCUUUCCUACACUCAUAGAUCCAUCUCCUCUCAAAAGAUCCUAACUUAUCCUAAUCUAGCUUAAUAGAUUUACCUUAUCUUAAGAGAUACUCUAUUGCCUUAAUAGAAUCAUCCUAUCUUUGAAAAGAUCUUAUGUCAUCCAAACAGAUCUAACAGACCUCAAAAGAUUCUACCUUAUCCUUAUGGAUUCAUCUUGCCCUAAUUAGCAUAUUUAUCCCACUCUAGAAUAACAACCAAGAGCAAAAAGAUCUAACUCAACCAGUAGAGUCAUGAUGGAUUGCAUAAUCUGUCAUUCCCCACCUAACUUCAAACAAACUUUUGACCUACAUCAUGUAGUUCAUCUCACCCAUAACUACUUCGACCAUAUGCCCGAACUCUGCUGAUAUACAGUAACCUCGAAUUAAUGAGACCAAGACUGAAAAAAAGAAAAGAUCAACCUCGUCAAGGAAGGAGAGAAGUCGAACUCAAUCUUCAGAUGCAUUACCACCCAACACGAAGUUCUUCCUCAUCAUAAACUUUCUUACCCCUGGCUAUUCUUACCCUAACCUAUCCAUCUCUUAUAUCCUACAUAAUAUGUAGUUGGAUACCUAUGCUCUCCUAAUCACCCACUAUUGUCUAAAAAAAGAUGAGACUCUGGAUUUUUGAACCAAUUAUAGAUUAAAAACCGAAUUACAAACCAAUCCUUUUGUAUCCCUUUUCUUACAAAUCUCGAGGACGAGAUUUCUGUUAAGGGGGGUAGGAUUUGUAAGGCCUAAAAUCCGUAUAAAAAAUUUAAUAAUAAUAAAAUAAAUAUAUGAAGAAAUGAGAUAGUAAAUUCUGACAUCUCAACUUAUGCUUGAGCAAUGAAUGUUGAGGAUUGAAUUUUGAAAACCAAGAACUAUUUUGGAGAAGAAGUAAUAGAAAAGUUUCCUAUUCAACUAAAUGAAUAUGCAUUUUAUUAACUGAUGCACCAUAAGCAUUUAUUUACAUGAGUAUUCACGUUUGGAGUAAUUAUUAACUCAUAUCCCACAUUCAAAAUACUAUUUUCUAAAAAAUAAAGAAAACAAUAUGAGUGUUUAUCAUAAUUCAAACAUAUUCCAAGCAAAUAAGUUAAUUAAAAUAAAUAUGUAUCUAUCGCUUCAUAAUUGAAUUUGAUUAUGAAUUAAAGAUUUGAGUUCUUAAACUUUAUUUUGAUUCCAACUUGAAAUUUGUAAACCAAAUAUAAGAUAGAAAAUAAAUAAAAAAAUGAAUUUGGAGAGGAGGAAAAGUGAUUAGGAAAUAAAUAAGAAAAAGAAGGGAAAAUAGGAAAGCAGUGCAUGGGCUCAUUUUUCCUGGCGCAGCCCACUAUCACCUUCGUUCGGCCCACCAGAAUACCCCCUUGCGUAGCCCAGCUGGUUUUGGCGCCGACAUCACGGGCCCACCGGUCAUCUUCACGCGCUCGCGCUCGUUUCUGUGUGUCGCUGGAUCGUGGGCCCGACUUGUCAGGAUCAUCUCCCCCACUGCCCCACAGUGUUCGCUUGCACGGCGUACAGGAUGGUUCUGCUUGGCCUGCGCGUGUGGCAGGACCCUCUCUGCCAUGCGGGCCAUCCGUGUUUGAGCACUGCUGGGCGGACCCUGUGCUAGCUCUAUUCCCUCCCUAUCUCCUCUCCGCUUCGUGCGCUGGCGGUUGAUGGACGGACUCCGAAGACCUCAGCCGUAACAAGAUGCCGAUCUCGCCGCUGGGACUUCGGCCGCUUGUAGCGGGAUCCCGAUCCGGCCAGGCGUCCAGCGGAGUCCGACCGGGCAGGUUCCCCUGGACUCGGAACCUCGCAGCCGUAUAAAACCGAGGCGUCCCUUUUGCAUCCGUGGCGUCCGCCAUUACCGAGCGCAGAGGGAGAAAGCAGCGUCGCCACCGCGGAAUCCACACCUCGGGGUCAAACCGGUGUCCUGCGUGGCGUCUAGAGUUUUGGCCGAGUUCGGUGGUUGACACUACGGAUGUGUUGGAUCGGGUGAAUCAGUGGUGGCGAGUUAAUUCCUCGCCGGAGCACCAGUCCACCGUGAAUCCGCCUAUCGCCGUGGGCGCUGAUUACCGUCGCUCCUUUCUCGGGUAUGUAACUCCUACUGCGUUCGCCAC
rnacentral:lncRNA from 1 species